CAGAGUAGGUUCUUUUGCGUCAAGUGCUGCCAAAAUGGGGAGUUGUUUGGCAGACGAAGGUUCAUGCCGCGGUAAGAGAAUCGCACCCGCUG
rnacentral:ncRNA from 1 species